AUUGAACGCUGGCGGCAGGCCUAACACAUGCAAGUCGAGCGGAGCGGCGGACGGGUGAGUAAUGCCUAGGAAUCUGCCUGGUAGUGGGGGCUAACGUCCGGAAACGGGCGCUAAUACCGCAUACUAUCAGAUGAGCCUAGGUCGGAUUAGCUAGUUGGUGGGGUAAAGGCGUACCAGGGCGACGAUCCGUCACUGGUCUGAGAGGAUGAUCAGUCACACUGGAACUGAGACACGGUCCAGCCGCCUACGCGAGGCAGCAGUGGGGAAGAUUGGACAAUGGGCGAAAGCCGGAUCCAGCCAUGCCGCGUGUGUGAAGAGGGUCUUCGGAUUGUAAAGCACUUUAAGCUGGGAGGCGUUACCAGCAGAAUAAGCACCGGCUAACUACGUGCCAGCAGCCGCGGUAAUUC
rnacentral:rRNA from 1 species